GCCCCGAUAGUGUAGUGGUCUAUCAUGAAGCCCUGUCGAGGCUUCGACCCGGAUUCAAAUUCCGGUCGGGGCGCCA
rnacentral:tRNA from 1 species